rnacentral:rRNA from 1 species
AUGGUCACCCUUGGCCAUUCACCCCUGAUCCCGACUUCCCUUCCAUUCCUCAGAUGGGAGAAGGAAAUCAGUCCAACAGGCGCAUCUAAAGUGACAUGUCAUGCACCGCCCACUCGUCCUCAAGUUGCUCGUUGUGUCGUGUCGGCUUGCCAUCAACCACAGUUGUGGCUCAACCCCCACAAUGAGCUGGCUAAUUGGUUGCUGCUCCUGCGUGCUGCAAAAAAGCUAAAAAAAGUCACUUUUCUAGUUUCAAAAUUUGAGAUGAUGAUUCAGUUCAGAAAAAUGGAUAUUUGCCAAAAACAAUUAAGAAGUUCAGGUCAUCCCUACAACAGCGUCGAGCUCGCACUCCACGACCGCUGGCGCCCCCAACCUAACGCCGUUCGUGACCCUCCACUACACUCCUCUGCUGGAGGAGCAUGUCAAUUUGUGUGGAGCAUAACGGUUUGUUAG